rnacentral:rRNA from 1 species
CAGCUCGUGUCGUGAGAUGUUGGGUUAAGUCCGCAACGAGCGCAACCCUUAUCUUUAAUUGCCAGCAUUCAGUUGGGCACUUUAAAGAGACUGCCGGUGUUAAAACCGGAGGAAGUGGGAUGACGUCAAGUCCUCAUGGCCUUUAUGCUUAGGGCUACACACGUGCUACAAUGGGUGGUACAAAGAGAAGCCAACUCGCGAGAGCGCGCCAAUCUCAAAAAGCCAUCCUCAGUUCGGAUUGGAGUCUGCAACUCGACUCCAUGAAGUUGGAAUCGCUAGUAAUCGCGGAUCAGCAUGCCGCGGUGAAUACGUUCCCGGGCCUU